rnacentral:sRNA from 1 species
UUUUAGCCCCGAUGGGAGCGGCAUCCCGCCUUGGCGGAUAGAGCGGACAGCGGGAAAGACG